GUUUUUUCUACUUGAGUGACAUAUUAUUAUUGUUACAUUGUGACUGUCUUAAGAAAAUAUACUGGACCUGCGUCAGGUGGUCGGGUCGGCGGCACAGUGUGACGUCACACGCAGGUGACAUCACCGCGGAUGCUCGGGUCGGCGGUAGUGGCAACAGACAGAGGAACACGUCGUGUAUGGUCUCCCGGCGGCCGGCCGCGCGGAACCAGCGCUGGCAGCGCUCGUUCGGGAUCACUUCCACAUCCACUUCCUGCAAAUCAUUAAACGGUCACUGAUGAUGAUGACGACUGACAGGAAAGGCAAUAUAUGCUGUUUGAAGACCACGCCCCGGUCCAGCUGGACUAACGCGACAUCGUUCCUGAAGUCGGCUGGCUCGUACGCGGGGUGCACC